rnacentral:tRNA from 1 species
GGAAGGGUGGCUCGAGUGGUUGAAGGCGCACGCUUGGAAAGCGUGUGUAUCGGUUCCCGGUACCACGGGUUCGAAUCCCGUCCCUUCCGCCA